rnacentral:tRNA from 1 species
GCUUUCGUAGUGUAGUGGUAGAACACUCGGCGCAUAUUCGAGAAGUUCAAGUUCGAAUCCUGGCGAGGGCA